GGCAAGUCUGGUGCCAGCAGCCGCGGUAAUUCCAGCUCCGAUAGCGUAUAUUAAAGUUGUUGCAGUUAAAAAGCUCGUAGUUGAAUUUCGGGAUCAAGGAAUCGGUCAUGCUUAGGUAUGUAGAGGUUUUAUUGGUUCUCACCUUCUAAAGAACCAUAAUGUCAUUCAUUUGAUGUUAUGGGGAAUUAGGACUGUUCCUUGAAAAAAUUAGAGUGUUUAAAGCAGGC
rnacentral:rRNA from 1 species